rnacentral:rRNA from 1 species
AUUGAACGCUGGCGGCGUGCCUAACACAUGCAAGUCGAACGGUAACACGCAGCAUCUUGCUGCUUCUCUUACGAGUGGCGGACGGGUGAGUAAUGUGUGUGAAGCUGCUUGAUGGAGGGUGAUAACUACUGGAAACGGUAGCUAAUACCGCAUAAUUUCUCAAGACCAAAGAGGGUUGCCUUCUGGCCGCUUGCCAUCUGAUUUGCCCAGAUGGGAUGAGCUUGUUGGUGGGGUAACCGCUCACCAAGUCGACGAUCCCUAGAUGCUGUGAGAGGAUGACAGGCGACACUGGGACUGGGACACGGUCAAGAGGCCUACGGGAAGCAGCAGUGGGCAAUAUUGAACAAAGGGCGCAAGCCUGAUGCAGUCAUGCCGAGUGUAUGAAGAAGGCCUUCGGGUUGUAAAGAACUCUCAGGGGGGAGAAAGGGAGUAAAGUUAAUACCUAUGCUGAUUGACGUUACCCGCAGAAGAAGCACCGGCUAACUACGUG